CUCUAGGGCUCUUCGUAGGAACCCCAAGGCGGCAGAAUAGCGAUAUUGCCACCUUGAGGUUCCUCCCUAACCACUAGGGCGCUGAAGUUCCUCGUUAUAAUCUUUCUUGUAGCGGUCCCUGAUUGACCGCCACCGAACCACGAUUGUCGACCCUGGAACAUAAAAAAAAAAAAAGGUUAGUCUUUAAAAUACAUGAUUUGUUGACAUCAAAAAUGGUCGUGUGCUCCCACAACGGUGAUCGUUCCUCCCCCAUCUGGAUGAGGAG